UGUGAAAAGGUGGCCAGGAGAGAGAUCGGUGUGUUCACUACCCCCAAAAAUAAGACUUUUUCCAAGCCUAUGACCCCACCAGCUUCAGGCAAGGAGCCUAAGGAAGCCUACUCAAGGGAGCCAAUCUCGUACUUCACACUGGACAACAUAGGACACAGUUUUCAGGUCACUGAAGCGCCCAGAAAGAGAGCAGGAACUGCAGACAGCAUACAGAGCGCUGCAGACACCUCUUUCUCCAGUCACGGCAUCGCUGUGCCACCACCCUCAGUCCCCACCAACAACAGCCUGCCUCCUCCUCCUCCGGCCUCUUCAGCCUGUUUGGACCCCGACCUGCCUGCUCCCCCGCCGCCUCCCUCUUUCUCCAUGGACACUGACCUCCCCCCUCCGCCCACCUUCCCCUCGCUCACAGAUCUCCCCCCGCCUCCCCCUUCACCUCCCCCUCCACCAGCUAUAAGCCCGUCAAGCACCUUCCCGUUGCCACCUCGUCCCGUAUCUGCAGGUUCCCCUCUUCCUCCUCCGCCUCCUCUUCUGUCAGCACCACAUCUCAACACUGGCACCUCUGUUAAUGUGCCGCCACCGCCGCCCCCACCUCCCCUAAGACUGUAACAUUACAGUGUGUCUUGUACUUGGUAGAAUAACUUCUCAUAUUACUUGCAGUUACUCAGACUGUGAACAAGGACGUGAGAUCAACAUUCAUUUUGUUUCGUUUUUUAGCUUGAGAGCUUGCAGUGGUUUACGGCCUGUUGAAUGGCAGUUCUGUUGGUACAGACAGCCGCUCUACAGAUUCCUCCAACAUGUCUCAACAACACCUCGACUGCAUUCCUUAAAAACAAGCUGAAACAGGGAUUCUUGCUCUCCCUUGUCUGCUUAUCCCCCCCACCCCAAAAUGUGAUUUCCUUUCCUUAUUACACCUGCAUAUUGUUACCUUUAAUGGCAGUGGACUUUAGCCCAGCACAGCUGUCAAUAUACUGUGUAGCAAGAGCAUAACUGAUGAUAAGUUGCGUCAAUAGCUCCAAUCUAGGUGAUUUCUGCUUCUUAAACAAGGCUGUACAUUGAUAUAAGUCAACAUUCUGCUUAACCUACAUAUAGCUGAAGGUAAGCUUUAUUUUAAAAAUGGAAAUAAUUUGAUGAAUCUAUUAGUAAUGGAUUUUGUUUAGCGAGGCCCAUAUCACGAGGAGAAGCCACACUCAGCCUGUGUCAUUACAUGUCAUUCAAAAUGAAAAAUAAAUGUUUUGUAAUUGUCCUCCACUUUGUUUGAUCCAAAUUUUGUUGAGGUUUAAUUUUGUACCGAGGUGUGAUAUAAAGUGUGUUAGCAACAAUUAAACGUUUGUGUUAAAUGAAGUUUUAACGUAAAUGUUGAUUAGCUUUACCUUAAACAACCAUCGCCAAGAGUUUAUAAUAUGUGCUGUGACUAAGGUGUAAUUCUCCUGUAACUAAAUCAGUGUUUUUUAUUUUAAAUCAUAAUGUAAUUAUAUCAAGCUUCAAAUGCUUAAAGGUAGGAAUAACAGAAUAAAAUAGGCGGGCAACAACUCAGGUUUUUACAGGAAACAAAGAAAUUAUAUGGUAAAUAAAUGUUACGGUAAAUAAAUGUUACGGUAAAUAAAUGUUACGGUAAAUAAAUGUAUGUACUGCAUAA
ensembl:lncRNA